UCGCCCACAAUGGCUCUCACGGUUUCAACACGGAUGUGGUCUUUCUAGUGCGGCGUGUGAGCGGAUACGAUGCACUUCGAAUAGUCCGUCGGCUUUGUGCCGAAUCCCUUGCCAGGGGCAUCCCUGUUGGAAUCGUGACCGGCCCACGCCGGUUGCGUUCCACCUUUGGUCUCCUCGCGCUAACCCCGUAGCGUGUGGUUUUUAGCGGGCUCUUAAGCCCGCUUUUUUUCG
rfam:Burkholderia glumae BGR1 chromosome 1, complete sequence.